AUGGAUUGAGAGCGGUUUUGGAAAAUAUUGGAACAAAAUUUACUGCUGCCACUCAACAAUUUCCUGUCAGUAACUCAGAUCUCUUAAAAAUCUAACGGUUAAUGUUAAAGAGCUACGCACAGCACACAGAGAAUCUUUUAUUCUAUACUCUCCCCAAAAUAAAACUCAAUUACUACUACAACUGAGUGUAAAUUUGAGUGAAAAUCAAGAAAAACUGAUUUUUUCACUGAUGUUCUGUGCUAAAAUCAAGUAAACAAAUGAUAUGAAUGCAACAAAACCAAACAGCGUACUUUCGAACGUCGGGGUAGAAAGACCAAAGUGUUUUUAAACGUAUAACGGCGCGCGUAUUGUUUGUGGCAAUGGAAAAAAUAAAACGAUUUUUUUUUGGAAAUACAAUUGAAAAAUAUACUUGAAUAAAACAAAAAAUAAAAAAUUUCUUUUACAAUUUAAAAAAAUAAUAAAAAAUUAAAAAAGUACAUAUUAACGUAAAUAAAGUGUUUGAAAAUUAAUAUACUAAAAAUAAAGUUAAUAUAUAAUAAGUUUAGUGUAAAUUUAUGUAUCUAUUAUAUGCAAAGUCAAGUUCGAAAGAAAAAUAUAUUCAAAUAUAUUACAUGUGUUUGUAAUGAUGAAAAAUAAACGUAUAAAAUACAACUGCUAAAGUUACUCUGAUAAGCAGGGGUUGGAAAAUUAUUGUUUAUGUUUUUUUCUCCUUUGGAAAACAAAAUUCCCCCCAAAAAUUAAGUUUUAUAACUGUUGCUUCUCAAAACAAAGUGACAAACUUUUAUGUGAAACGCACCUACAUAAAUAAAAAUAAAUAAACUCAAUGGAUUUGGAAAUACAUAUUUUUUCUCUUAAAUUGUCGUCGUAGUUCAUUCAUUCAACACCACAACUAUAACAACAACAGAAAAUAUACGCGAAAAUAACUAAAA